CCAGAAGCCACAGGGUGGAAUGGAGCAGAGUCAAUGAUUCAAUCCUGACCUCAGGUUACUGUUUUUCUCUAGGUUCACUGGUUUCCUCGUACCUCCCAAAAAAAGCGGGGGCGUGGUCGAGCAUCAGCUGAGGACAGAGAGGAGGCGGGUUGAAUCAGCAGCCACCUGGUGCAGUGAGAAUCACCAGGACAUCUUUUACCAUGUGCUUUUAAAGGCAACUGCUGUUAGGCUCCUAUCAUCUCUUCUGCCACGAUGGGGCAGCAUGCCAGAAUAACUGCCGUGUCCUUUGGAUGCACUAAACCAUAUUGUUGCUUGGCUUGAACUGAUGUGAGGAGGAACACACUCUUGCCACUGGCACCAGUCGGCUCAAUGCCCACAAAGUGCCAGGCUACAGGACCCAGCUUGCUGUCAGUGUGAGUUAUAGCUCUGUCACACCAGCCUCUGAAGCACCAGCACCAUGAGAUCCUCCAGGCUGAGCUUCCCAUGAGCUUCGUCUACUAACAGCUUCUGUCCUGUUUCACAAUGAUUUCAGUGAGCGACCUAUAUUAUUUCUUUAUAUGA